rnacentral:rRNA from 1 species
GGGUCAGUAGGUUGGUCGUGCCACCGGUACGUACUGGUCUCACUGAUUCCUCCUUCCUGAAGAACCGUAAUGCCAUUAAUUUGGUGUUGCGGGGAAACAGGACUGUUACCUUGAAAAAAUUAGAGUGUUUAAAGCAAGCUAACGCUUGAAUACAUUAGCAUGGAAUAAUGAAAUAGGGCGAUCGAUCCUAUUUUGUUGGUUUCUAGGAUUGACGUA